UACGUAGGGUGCAAGCGUUGUCCGGAAUUAUUGGGCGUAAAGAGCUCGUAGGCGGUCUGUCGCGUCGGCUGUGAAAACUCGGGGCUCAACCCCGAGCCUGCAGUCGAUACGGGCAGACUAGAGUGCUGUAGGGGAGACUGGAAUUCCUGGUGUAGCGGUGAAAUGCGCAGAUAUCAGGAGGAACACCGGUGGCGAAGGCGGGACUCUGGGCCGAUACUGACGCUGAGGAGCGAAAGCGUGGGGAGCAAACAGG
rnacentral:rRNA from 1 species